CCACUUGGGAUCGGGGGGUUAGGUGUCGGCGGUGUGGGAGGGAGGAGGAGGAAGGGAUCAAGCGGUGGCGUGAGGAAAGGGAGGAGGGAGUAGCGGUUUGGGAGGCGGGUCCAGGCGCGCGAGCAGGACAGCAGAGUACGUGGUAGCGACGGCCGGGGACGGUACCACAACGCCACGAGAAGGACGGGGGGAGCGCAGGCUGGAGUGGUCCAGGAGCUACGGUCGGAGUAGCCGAACGACGCCGCCGGCGAGAGCUGCGGCAGGAACGCUGGGCUGUCGCCGUUUGGGCUCCCGGCCGCCGAGUACACCACCACAUCGCCUACCGUCGGAGUCGCCCACUCGUUGCCUCUGACGUGGACCACGUGCUCGAGCGUGGGGUUACGCAGGCACGAGCUUAUCGAGCGUAUAAGUGCCGGUGGUUUAUGCAUCCGGUCAUCAAUUUAAAAGAUGUCUACUCAGGAACAGCCUACCUACCACUGAUUGCUCUACGUGAAGAAACUGUGUUCAUUAAAAUUAUUUCCCUAACACAUGUUCACAAGUCUAGAAAAGAACACUGUUCCUACGUGUUUUAGUUCAAAAAACAGCCAUCCUCGAAAAAAGCUACAGGUUGACAACUCAAGGUGAAGGUGACCUUGUUCCCCAGAUGACCUGAAGAAUAACAAAGGGUUGGACUACACCUAUUUUAGUUGCUCUCAUAAUACCACUUUGGUUCAACGUGAUGAACUGUUCAUCCCGGAAACUUCCUUAACAAGGAGAGUUUUUCCUUCCCGGUCACGUACUACAAGUCACUAGAAGAAAUCCAAGGCUAAAAAAACACUAGAUACCUAUAUAGGAAUGUAUCAGGAAUGUACUUGGUAUUGUAAAGACUAAAUUACAGAAACAUAAGAUGUUGACAAGGAACUGACUUAGAGCCAAUCCGGACGGUCUCGUUAUUAUAAGUCGGUUUUUACGUUAGGAGAAGUGCUCGAACCACUUCCGGUAAUAUUAUGCUAUUCUAACUUAGGGCUUCCCGCUAGCUUCCGGCUAAAACGGUCCAGAAAUAGUUUACCUACGUCUCAUCGACUUACCUUCGCCGUUUAGAGUGAAAGUGAAUCUUCUCAACUCGGCCCCGACGCCUACCAGUCACGUAUUUAAUAUAAACCGUUCAUACAAAUAAACCGUUCAAACUAUAUGACAAGACGGAACUCUGGUGAGUGACAGGUAUUCGAAAGUCUUCUAGGAACGUAGUGUUGUACGGUCUGUAAGUCUGUUUCGAUAAAUAGAUACCAGAUGAGAUAUUAGAUGAUGACAGUGGAAUAUGGUGUCUUAUUAGUAUACUUAGUCAAUAGGAGCUGAUGACAAUACUGAACGAAAACCAUAUAGUACGAUGGAAACUUGAUCCGCUUCGUUUGGAAAGUGGUACACAUGAGGGUGAACGACGAUGUAAAAGAUACUCUACGUGGGUCCUCUUUUAUCUUAUGGCUUAUCAUAGAGGAAGUUUUAAACGGUUGACUCCACAGAGCAACGAAUGCCUAUACGUUCGGACGAAUGUAGUGGGUUCUAGAGGAAGAGGACCAGGUCCGUUAGUGUGUACUACUUUGGUGAGUAAAAUCACCAUAUGGUAUAACACUCGUUAGUCCUUGUUUUUGUCCUCCCAAUUAACAGUGUUUUGCCACGACGUAUAAAAAGUCUUCUAUACGUAACACUAACUUGUACUCUUUGGGAAAUGGAGGGACGUAAUAGAAAUAUACAAUAAUUUUACAAUGUGUACAAAACCAGGAGGGUUCUGUAAUAAUUAGGUAUUACAUUUAUUGAGACUACAUACUACUAAAAGUCACUCUAUAGGAAAAUAGAGGUCCGUAAAGAAAGUACAUCACCUAUAUGUUUUAUUUGACAUCCUCGUUUACAACGAACACCCUGACCACGAACACAUCAACAACGUUGACAAGAACUCUCGGCUCGACUUACAUAGACUUUUUCCUAUUAGACUGUGGAUUAUUCCUAGUCCUCUUGUUAUCUCUACGAUUCUCCUUUGGAAAACCCCAAUUCCUAUAUUUGUUGUUUUACCGAAUAAUCCGGCUUCUCUCGAGUUCCCCACAGAAAACCAAGAACUUCCGGACGUGAAAGGACCACCUCAUCGUAGUUUUAUCAAGUCUCCGAAAUUUCGAUGAAUUGAAGUGCAUCAAUCCUAGUUAAGAAACAAAGCCAAACUUCAUGGGAGGUCAAGGAGGAUAAACUAACUUAUUUGUCUUCCGUGUACCUAACAAUGCUCACUUCGGUAGGUAUCUUCAGCUAUAUAAUUUUUAGGUUAUACUCCUUAAGUUCUAUAUCUCUUUACGAUAACAAGAAAACGAUUAAUCAACGAACUGGUUUACAUGACAUUUACUACAAUAAUAAGAAGUUCUAUAUCUCUUUACAAUAACAAGAAGUAACAUCUCUUACUAUAGGUAGGGUU
rnacentral:rRNA from 1 species